GUUCUGCUUCAUCUUUCGAAAGCAUGGAUUUGAAAAUCAACUUAAUCUUUGGCAGUCUACGCUGGUCCAAAGGGUCAAUUGGUGCUUAUAGACUGAACCGGUCCUUACACAAAAUUUAUACCAUAACAAUCUAAAUGUUUCUCUUACAGUUCCAUGAUUCCUUUCAUAACAUAUGCUCUGUUUUCUGUGUGUAUGUAGCUAUAUUUAAAGGAUUCUCAGUUCAGCGAAGUGGACAGAGCAGAGUAUCAGUUCAGAAUGACAGCUACUGUACUCGACAAUGGAACUCAGGUUACUGAUCUAUUUCAAUUUCAAGAAACUCAUCCUAAAGAAAUAAAUGCUUAAGUUUCUUCGACUUCAGCUGUCAUGCUCAAUACGUUUUCUUAAGCUGGAUGGUUAUGUUCGGCCUCCUCCCCUCUAUUUUCCCAACCAGUAGGGUAACAGUAAAUGACUGAUGCUUGGAAGUUAAGUAAUUGCAAGAGCUUGAGCUGAAAAGUGAAAGUCUGGCCAACUAACUUCUGUAGGCAUUGUGGGAGAGCUGUAUGCAAGGGAAUUUCUACACCUGUGUCCAGAAUCUUUUACGGCAACCAACGUCCACCUGUUCAGCGUUUUGUAGACCAGGUUGUGUUGUAUCUGGAUUAAAAAUUAAAAUGCUCAAAUAAGUCCAACUCUAACCUUCAUAAGUCCACACUCACAGGGAGGUGAUGAUCACCAGGAAAAAUAAAUGAUGGCCACUGCCACAACACUCGAAAAAAUUUGUAUAAGGACGUAAACUAAAGGCUCACCAAUAUAAACACUCAGACGAA